rnacentral:rRNA from 1 species
GACGAACGCUGGCGGCGUGCUUAACACAUGCAAGUCGAACGGAAAGGCCCCUUUGGGGGUACUCGAGUGGCGAACGGGUGAGUAACACGUGAGUAACCUGCCCUUGACUUCGGGAUAACUUCAGGAAACUGGGGCUAAUACCGGAUAGGAAUCCUUGCUGCAUGGUGGGGGUUGGAAAGCUUCGGCGGUUUUGGAUGGACUCGCGGCUUAUCAGCUUGUUGGUGGGGUAGUGGCUUACCAAGGCUUUGACGGGUAGCCGGCCUGAGAGGGCGACCGGCCACAUUGGGACUGAGAUACGGCCCAGACUCCUACGGGAGGCGGCAGUGGGGAAUAUUGCACAAUGGGCGGAAGCCUGAUGCAGCAACGCCGCGUGCGGGAUGACGGCCUUCGGGUUGUAAACCGCUUUCAGCAGGGGCGAAGCUUGUGGUGACGGUACCUGCAGAAGAAGCACCGGCUAACUACGUG